rfam:Oryza sativa Japonica Group DNA, chromosome 3, cultivar: Nipponbare, complete sequence.
AAUAAGUGCAGUUUUGUAUUAACCGUUCGUCUUAUUUGAAAUUUUUUUAUUAGUAUUUUUAUUACUAUUAGAUGAUAAAACAUAAAUAGUACUUUAUGUGUGACUAAAUAUUUUUAAAUUUUUCACAAAAUUUUCAAAUAAGACGAACGGUCAAACGUUGGGCACGGAUAUCCACAACUGCACUUAUU